rnacentral:rRNA from 1 species
AUUGAACGCUAGCGGCAGGCUUAACACAUGCAAGUCGAGCGGGGGAAGGUAGCUUGCUACCGGACCUAGCGGCGGACGGGUGAGUAAUGCUUAGGAAUCUGCCUAUUAGUGGGGGACAACAUCUCGAAAGGGAUGCUAAUACCGCAUACGUCCUACGGGAGAAAGCAGGGGAUCUUCGGACCUUGCGCUAAUAGAUGAGCCUAAGUCGGAUUAGCUAGUUGGUGGGGUAAAGGUCUACCAAGGCGACGGUCUGUAGCGGGUCGGAGAGGAUGAUCCGCAACACUGGGACUGAGACACGGCCCAGACUCCUACGGGAGGCAGCAGUGGGGAAUAUUGGACAAUGGGGGGAACCCUGAUCCAGCCAUGCCGCAUGUGGGAAGAAGGCCUUAUGGUUGUAAAGCACUUUAAGCGAGGAGGAGGCUACUGAGACUAACACUCUUGGAUAGUGGACGUUACUCGCAGAAUAAGCACCGGCUAACUCUGUGCCAGCCGCCGCAGUAA